UUUUUGGUAAGAUGACCACCUCGAUGUGACUCCGACGUGGGGAAUAUGAAAAAGAGACGGUUGCUGUUAAGCGCUUACUGCCUGCCUCCUCACGGUAGCCCACCCUACCUCACUAGAAAAACUGCAGUUUCAGAACUUGAGCCCAGUUUAAAUUUUAUUUUUCUAUCUCCUUCAAGACCAAUACACUUGGGCAAUUCUCUGUCAGGAGUGAACUGGCCUUUUCACCUGUGAAUGGACUCCUUCUUUUCACUUGUAAAUUGUGCUUCCUCCUGCAGACCUCCGCUCUCAAGGAGGCAGCAAUAUCAGUGGGGAGCGCCUCUCAAUUUGAAACUCAUUUAAACAUGUAACAGAUGAAAAACAUUAGCAGUCUUUCAAGAUUUCCAAAAAGAGAGAAAAUUUAAUCUUCACACCUAUGUGGGUACACCAAGGAGCUGUGCCAUUAUGCGCGGUUACUUCAUGUACAUGUCAUAGGUAGCCUCCCCAUCUAUCACUGAGUGAUAGGUUCUGCUCUCUGAUUUCAUCUACUUCUCAAAAUGGUACUGUUAUCACAGUAAGCUCCUAUAGUUUUUCCAGAGACUUCUACAAAAACUAUUCAGCAUUCCUCACAUAUGAGCAAAUGGCCUGUGCAUUUGAAGAGUUUCACAGGAAUAAAGACUGAACUGAUACCUGGACACAAAGUUGAAGACUGUAUUUCUCAGUUAAUAAGGCGGAAUGCUGGUUACGUUUUAGGCAAACGGAUGGAAAAUGCUGCGAUGAUGGUCGUCUGUGCCCACUGGGAAGUGGAUGCCAAGAUGGAAUUAGAAAUGAAAGUGGAAUUAAGUGGAUGACUAAAACUCAUAAAGGGUGCAGAGAGCAGAAAAACCUGGGGAAAGCCUUCAGACUAUGACGCAGGUCCUACACAUGUCGGGGGGCAGAGGAUGGAGCAUCAGACCACAGACUUAUAUGUAGAGCAACUCAAAGGAAUUCUCAUCCAGGGCACGGGAACUGCAAGCAAAGAUGGUCAUUUAAAUAGCUCCAUUUGGGUAGGAGCAGCCUUGAUCUAGGGCCUAUUAUGCAGCUACUCACCAGGAGCUACUUGUGGGUAACCUGACCCCAGUGUGAAUACAGAGGCUGUCAGCUAACUAGAACAUCCUCCCAGGACCUCUACACAUGAGAUUACAUUAAUAAUGUAUGCGCA